rnacentral:tRNA from 1 species
AGUGAGGUGGCUGAGCUUUAAGCGAUAAACUGUAAAUUUAUUAACGGAUUUUAUCCCCUUACUA